rnacentral:lncRNA from 1 species
AUUUGACUGAUUUUCUUUCUUUUUAAUAGGUCUUCUUUGGUGGACACCUGAAGAAUGACUAGAAACAGAACGAUAUAAAUCUUUGGAUUAUCUUUAUUUCUAUGGCAAUUUUAUUCUAGGAGGGGCUAACAUGUUGCAGUCAAUC